UUCUGCAUGGACGAAGUCGACGAACCAGACAUCCCAGAUCACCUGUGUAUACAAGGCUACAAACAUAUUGUCAUAAACGAUAGCGGAUUAUUCUUUCCUUGUACGGAUAGACAUAUAGACACAUAGAUGACUGUUCUUCACGGGCUGAAGUAUCAGUCGGCCCUGAAAUCGACAUCGAAGAGAUGUUGAUAUCAGAGGUACGGAACCGCCCAAUAUUAUGGGAUCACAGGUUAUCGAUCAUUUCAUGGGGAAAAACGGCUACAGCAACUCAAUGGGCAGAGGUUUCUAGGGCAUUGAAUGGUCAAGUAAUGGCUGUUGAUGCAGCAAAAAAGUGGCAGCUGUAUGCAGUUGACUGCGUGGAGCUUUUACGUCGCUGAAUCAAUGGUUAGCAACAUAGUUUGGGAAACAUGCCAAGUGAUUUGGGAUACAUUAUCACCAAUCUAUGUCAAAUCGCCAGACUCACAAGAAGACUGACGAAUGAUCGCUGAUGAAUUCUACCGGCGAUGGAAUUUUUCAAAUUGCUU
rnacentral:misc_RNA from 1 species